rnacentral:rRNA from 1 species
UAGGGAAUCUUCGGCAAUGGGGGGAACCCUGACCGAGCAACGCCGCGUGAGUGAAGAAGGUUUUCGGAUCGUAAAGCUCUGUUGUUAAGGAAGAACGAGUGUGAGAAUGGAAAGUUCAUACUGUGACGGCACUUAACCAGAAAGGGAUGGCUAACUACGUGCCAGCAGCCGCGGUAAUACGUAGGUCCCGAGCGUUGUCCGGAUUUAUUGGGCGUAAAGCGAGCGCAGGCGGUUAGAUAAGUCUGAAGUUAAAGGCAGUGGCUCAACCAUUGUAGGCUUUAGAAACUGUUUAACUUGAGUGCAGAAGGGGAGAGUGGAAUUCCAUGUGUAGCGGUGAAAUGCGUAGAUAUAUGGAGGAACACCGGUGGCGAAAGCGGCUCUCUGGUCUGUUACUGACGCUGAGGCUCGAAAGCGUGGGGAGCGAACAGG